GACGAACGCUGGCGGCGUGCCUAAUACAUGCAAGUCGAGCGAAGCGGCGGAUGGGUGAGUAACGCGUGGGUAACCUGCACUUAAGUCUGGGAUACCAUUUGGAAACAGAUGCUAAUACCGGAUACUAAAGGAUGGACCUGCGAUGCAUUGGCUAGUUGGUAAGGUAACGGCUUACCAAGGCGAUGAUGCGUAGACGGAUGUAGAGCCUGAGCGGCCACAAUGGGACUGAGACACGGCCCAAACUACUACGUGAGGCAGCAGUAGGGAAGCUUCCACAAUGGACGAAAGUCUGAUGGAGCAACGCAGCGGGAGUGAAGAAGGUUUUCGGAUCGUAAAGCUCUGUUGUUGGUGAAGCGGUAAUCAACCAAAAAGUCACGGCUAACUACGUGCCAGCAGCCGCGGUAAUAC
rnacentral:rRNA from 1 species